UACGUAGGGGGCAAGCGUUGUCCGGAAUUACUGGGCGUAAAGAGCGUGUAGGCGGCCAGGCAGGUCCGCUGUGAAAACUCGAGGCUCAACCUCGAGACGCCGAUGGAAACCAUCUAACUAGAGUCCGGAAGAGGAGAAUGGAAUUCCUGGUGUAGCGGUGAAAUGCGCAGAUAUCAGGAAGAACACCCGUGGCUAAGGCGGUUCUCUAGUACGGUACUGACGCUGAGACGCGAAAGCGUGGGGAGCGAACAGG
rnacentral:rRNA from 1 species